AUGUCUCCGGUUGCUCACAUUGGUAAUGCGCAGCUACAGCAAGUGUCUGAUCUUAUCGAUCCUGAAACUUGGCUCUGGAAAGAUCAGGUAAUCAGAGAGAACUUCAUACCAUCAGAUGCAGACGCCAUUCUGAAUAUCCCCCUAAGGAUUGGCGGUGGUGAUGAUAUUUUGGCAUGGGCUUGGGAGAGAUCUGGUUCAUACACUGUCAAGUCAGCUUACCGCGCUCUCGUGACUCAGAACAAGCAUUUGGCUCUAGAGGAAGGGACGGUAGUCGAAACAUCAGCGACAGAGAAACAGUUAUGGACCACAUUAUGGAAACUGAAGGUUCUGCCAAAAGUGAGAGUAUUU
rnacentral:rRNA from 1 species